GUUUUGAGGGUAUUUGACAGGCUUCUCUCGAAAGGUCUGGUGGUGGGUUUUUUAAGGAUAACUAUGGCAUCUCCAGUUAUUAGAACAACAAUACUGACGUCUGUCCAAACUUCUACAGAGGACCAUACGGUUGUGAAUACAAUCUAUGUGGCAGGUUAUAACUACUGAAAUUUUAACCUAAAUAUUGUU